rnacentral:lncRNA from 1 species
GGUUCUCUCACCACCAUCAGCAAAUGGAUGGCAAACUUAUUGAUGUCCUUAAAAUAGGGGCUCCCAUGAGUCAAGAACUUCAUAUGUGAUUCCAUGAAGCUUUGUGAACACCAGCUAUGCUUCACCACCAUUAAGCAGUACUACUGAGGAGAUCAACGGCCAAGAACUCCAAGGAGAAAUAAAGGAGCAAAAGUUAGAAUACGGAGGACGGGGAAUGGAGCUGGCCUUUCACUUCAAGUGCGAUUGCUUCUCUCCCCAGAUUUUCAUGAUCAAGAGCCACCCUUUCCAGCAAGAAUGACCACCAAUGGCUUCAUGGAAGAAGUGGCAUUUGGAGAAUAGUAUGAUUUUGACAGGUAGAGCUGGGAGAGGAGGACACUUCUGAAUGAGGAAGCAGCAUGUUCAAAGACCCACGGGCCACUUGGUUGCACAGGCUGAACCAUAUUCACCUCUAGGAAGCCAUUCAGUAACAGUGUGGAAUUGGCCACAUGGCAGCCCUGCUGGAAAGCACAGGGGGUUCUACUUGCCCAUCCGUGGGUUUGCAAAGCCUGACAGCCCUGCAGGAUUGGCUUGGUCUUGCUGUCCCUCUGGAAGCCCAAAUUCACAACAAUGAACUCGCUUUCUUUCCCUGGAUGAGCUGCUCCCAAGUUCAACACCUCAGUAAGUGCUCCAACAUCCUUCCUGCCACUCCAGCGGGAGCCUCCUCCCCUUCCCCACACCACCCCCAAGCACAAAGUGGAUGUCCCCGUCUCUACCAAUCCUACUUAGUCCUAGAUUCUCACGCCUUCUGCCCACCUCGCACUCCCAAGCCCUUACACAGAUGGUAUCCAAGAUGAGCACUUGAAGAUACAGGCCUGAUUAUCUCAUUCUAACCAACCAACUCUUGCAGAUCUUGAGAUUUUUAAAGCUUCUUUUUAGGCUUCCCUUUGCUAGCAGACUUUUCUCAGUCGGAUUCCAACCUGUCUUUUCAAGCCUCAGGUCCUAUAGCUCUCCACAGGCCUCCCACUAUACACAUACACACAUGUACACACAUGCACAUACAUACACACCAUAAUCCGGCCAUGCCAGUCUAGUUAUUCACAUGUGCAGCCCCUGACAGAGUGCUGAUAUUUG